rnacentral:rRNA from 1 species
UACGGAGGGUGCAAGCGUUAUCCGGAUUCACUGGGUUUAAAGGGUGCGUAGGAGGGCAGGUAAGUCAGUGGUGAAAUCUCCGAGCUUAACUUGGAACUGCCGUUGAUACUAUCUGUCUUGAAUAUUGUGGAGGUGAGCGGAAUAUGUCAUGUAGCGGUGAAAUGCUUAGAUAUGACAUAGAACACCAAUUGCGAAGCAGCUCGCUACACAUAUAUUGACUCUGAGGCACGAAAGCGUGGGGAUCAAACAGG